AGGGUUUGAUCAUGGCUCAGAUUGAACGCUGGCGGUAGGCUUAACACAUGCAAGUCGUGCGAGAAAGUAUCUUCGGAUAUGAGUAGAGCGGCGGACGGGUGAGUAACGCGUAGGAAUCUACCUAGUAGAAGGGGAUAGCCCGGGGAAACUCGGAUUAAUACCGUAUACCUCCUUCGGGAGAAAGAAGGCCUCUCUUUGAAGCUUUCGCUAUUAGAUGAGCCUGCGUAAGAUUAGCUUGUUGGUGAGGUAAAGGCUCACCAAGGCGACGAUCUUUAGCGGGUCUGAGAGGACGAUCCGCCACAUUGGGACUGAGACACGGCCCAGACUCCUACGGGAGGCAGCAGUGGGGAAUAUUGGACAAUGGGCGCAAGCCUGAUCCAGCCAUACCGCGUGUGUGAAGAAGGCCCUAGGGUUGUAAAGCACUUUAAGUUGGGAAGAAAAGUUAUUGGUUAAUACCCAAUAACCGUGACAUUACCAUCAGAAUAAGGACCGGCUAAUUCCGUGCCAGCAGCCGCGGUAAUACGGAAGGUCCAAGCGUUAAUCGGAAUUACUGGGCGUAAAGCGCGCGUAGGUGGUUUAUUAAGUUGGAUGUGAAAUCCCCGGGCUCAACCUGGGAACUGCAUCCAAAACUGAUUCACUAGAGUACGAUAGAGGGAGGUAGAAUUCACAGUGUAGCGGUGGAAUGCGUAGAUAUUGUGAAGAAUACCAAUGGCGAAGGCAGCCUCCUGGAUCUGUACUGACACUGAGGUGCGAAAGCGUGGGUAGCGAACAGGAUUAGAUACCCUGGUAGUCCACGCCGUAAACGAUGUCAACUAGCUGUUGGAAAACUAUGUUUUUCAGUGGCGCAGCUAACGUAGUAAGUUGACCGCCUGGGGAGUACGGCCGCAAGGCUAAAACUCAAAUGAAUUGACGGGGACCCGCACAAGCGGUGGAGCAUGUGGUUUAAUUCGAUGCAACGCGAAAAACCUUACCUAUACUUGACAUACUUGGAAUGCUUUGUAAUGAAGCAGUGCCUUCGGGAGCCAAGAUACAGGUGCUGCAUGGCUGUCGUCAGCUCGUGUCGUGAGAUGUUCCGUUAAGUCGGAUAACGAGCGCAACCCUUACCCUUAUUUGCCAGCGAUUCGGUCGGGAACUAUAAGGGGACUGCCGGUGAUAAACCGGAGGAAGGUGAGGACGACGUCAAGUCAUCAUGGCCCUUACGUAUAGGGCUACACACGUGCUACAAUGGAGAAUACAGACGGACGCUAAGCCGCGAGGUGGUGCUAAUCCUAGAAAAUUCUUCGUAGUCCGGAUUGGAGUCUGCAACUCGACUCCAUGAAGUCGGAAUCGCUAGUAAUCGCGAAUCAGCAUGUCGCGGUGAAUACGUUCUCGGGUCUUGUACACACCGCCCGUCAUACCAUGGAAGUGGAUUGCACCAGAAGUAGAUAGUCUAACCUUCGGGAGGGCGUUUACCACGGUGUGCUUCAUGACUGGGGUAAAGUCAUAACAAGGUAGCCGUA
rnacentral:rRNA from 1 species